CAAACUGGAGAUGGCGACCGGCGCACGGGUGAGUAACACGUAUCCAACCUGCCGAUAACUCGGGGAUAGCCUUUCGAAAGAAAGAUUAAUACCCGAUGGUAUAAUAAAACCGCAUGGUUUAAUUAUUAAAGAAUUUCGGUUAUCGAUGGGGAUGCGUUCCAUUAGGCAGUCGGUGAGGUAACGGCUCACCAAACCUUCGAUGGAUAGGGGUUCUGAGAGGAAGGUCCCCCACAUUGGAACUGAGACACGGUCCAA
rnacentral:rRNA from 1 species